UACGGAGGAUCCAAGCGUUAUCCGGAUUUAUUGGGUUUAAAGGGUGCGUAGGUGGUUCUUUAAGUCAGGGGUGAAAGACGGCAGCUUAACUGUCGCAGUGCCUUUGAUACUGAAGAACUUGAAUGAACUAGAGGUAGGCGGAAUGUGACAAGUAGCGGUGAAAUGCAUAGAUAUGUCACAGAACACCAAUUGCGAAGGCAGCUUACUAUGGUUUGAUUGACACUGAGGCACGAAAGCGUGGGGAGUCAAACAGG
rnacentral:rRNA from 1 species